rnacentral:rRNA from 1 species
CCCGCUGAACUUAAGCAUAUCAAUAAGCGGAGGAAAAGAAACUAACAAGGAUUCCCCUAGUAACUGCGAGUGAAGCGGGAAAAGCUCAAAUUUAAAAUCUGGUGGUCUUUGGCUGCCCGAGUUGUAAUCUAGAGAAGUGUUAUCCGCGCUGGACCGUGUACAAGUCUCCUGGAAUGGAGCGUCAUAGAGGGUGAGAAUCCCGUCUUUGACACGGACUACCAGGGCUUUGUGGUACGCUCUCAAAGAGUCGAGUUGUUUGGGAAUGCAGCUCAAAAUGGGUGGUAAAUUCCAUCUAAAGCUAAAUAUUGGCGAGAGACCGAUAGCGAACAAGUACCGUGAGGGAAAGAUGAAAAGAACUUUGGAAAGAGAGUUAAACAGUACGUGAAAUUGCUGAAAGGGAAACGCUUGAAGUCAGUCGCGUUGGCCGGGAAUCAGCCUUGCUUUUUGUGAGGUGUACUUCCUGGUUGAUGGGUCAGCAUCAAUUUUGACCGCUGGAAAAAGGCUUGAGGAAUGUGGCAGCUCCGGCUGUGUUAUAGCUUCAUGUCACAUACAGCGGUUGGGAUUGAGGAACUCAGCACGCCGCAAGGCCGGGUUUCGACCACGUUCGUGCUUAGGAUGCUGGCAUAAUGGCUUUAAGCGACCCGUCUUGAAACAC